rnacentral:rRNA from 1 species
GCGCGAAAACUUUACAAUGCUGGCAACAGCGAUAAGGGAACCUCGAGUGCCAGGUUACAAAUCUGGCUGUCGAGAUGCCUAAAAAGCAUUUCAUAGCAAGGGCCGGGCAAGACCGGUGCCAGCCGCCGCGGUAACACCGGCGGCUCGAGUGGUAACCGUUAUUAUUGGGUCUAAAGGGUCUGUAGCCGGCCGGAUAAGUCUCUUGAGAAAUCUGGCAGCUUAACUGUCAGGCUUUCAGGAGAUACUGUCUGGCUCGAGGCCGGGAGAGGUGAGAGGUACUUCAGGGGUAUGGGUGAAAUCUUGUAAUCCUUGAAGGACCACCCGUGGCGAAGGCGUCUCACCAGACCUGACCUAACGGCAAGGGACGAAAGCUAGGGGCACUAACC